rnacentral:rRNA from 1 species
GACGAACGCUGGCGGCGUGCUUAACACAUGCAAGUCGAACGGAAAGGCCCUGCUUUUGUGGGGUGCUCGAGUGGCGAACGGGUGAGUAACACGUGAGUAACCUGCCCUUGACUUUGGGAUAACUUCAGGAAACUGGUGCUAAUACCGGAUAGGAGCUCCUGCUGCAUGGUGGGGUUUGGAAAGUUUCGGCGGUUGGGGAUGUACUCGCGGCUUAUCAGCUUGUUGGUGGGGUAGUGGCUUACCAAGGCUUUGACGGGUAGCCGGCCUGAGAGGGUGACCGGCCACAUUGGGACUGAGAUACGGCCCAGACUCCUACGGGAGGCAGCAGUGGGGAAUAUUGCACAAUGGGCGGAAGCCUGAUGAAGCAAAGCAGCGUGCGGGAUGACGGCCUUCGGGUUGUAAACCGCUUUCGACUGUGACGAAGCGUGAGUGACGGUAAUGGGUAAAGAAGCACCGGCUAACUACGUG